rnacentral:rRNA from 1 species
AGGUGAUCCAACCGCAGGUUCCCCUACGGUUACCUUGUUACGACUUCACCCCAGUCAUGAAUCACAAAGUGGUAAGCGCCCUCCCGAAGGUUAAGCUACCUACUUCUUUUGCAACCCACUCCCAUGGUGUGACGGGCGGUGUGUACAAGGCCCGGGAACGUAUUCACCGUGGCAUUCUGAUCCACGAUUACUAGCGAUUCCGACUUCAUGGAGUCGAGUUGCAGACUCCAAUCCGGACUACGACGCACUUUAUGAGGUCCGCUUGCUCUCGCGAGGUCGCUUCUCUUUGUAUGCGCCAUUGUAGCACGUGUGUAGCCCUGGUCGUAAGGGCCAUGAUGACUUGACGUCAUCCCCACCUUCCUCCAGUUUAUCACUGGCAGUCUCCUUUGAGUUCCCGGCCGGACCGCUGGCAACAAAGGAUAAGGGUUGCGCUCGUUGCGGGACUUAACCCAACAUUUCACAACACGAGCUGACGACAGCCAUGCAGCACCUGUCUCACGGUUCCCGAAGGCACAUUCUCAUCUCUGAAAACUUCCGUGGAUGUCAAGACCAGGUAAGGUUCUUCGCGUUGCAUCGAAUUAAACCACAUGCUCCACCGCUUGUGCGGGCCCCCGUCAAUUCAUUUGAGUUUUAACCUUGCGGCCGUACUCCCCAGGCGGUCGACUUAACGCGUUAGCUCCGGAAGCCACGCCUCAAGGGCACAACCUCCAAGUCGACAUCGUUUACGGCGUGGACUACCAGGGUAUCUAAUCCUGUUUGCUCCCCACGCUUUCGCACCUGAGCGUCAGUCUUCGUCCAGGGGGCCGCCUUCGCCACCGGUAUUCCUCCAGAUCUCUACGCAUUUCACCGCUACACCUGGAAUUCUACCCCCCUCUACGAGACUCAAGCUUGCCAGUAUCAGAUGCAGUUCCCAGGUUGAGCCCGGGGAUUUCACAUCUGACUUAACAAACCGCCUGCGUGCGCUUUACGCCCAGUAAUUCCGAUUAACGCUUGCACCCUCCGUAUUACCGCGGCUGCUGGCACGGAGUUAGCCGGUGCUUCUUCUGCGGGUAACGUCAAUGAGCAAAGGUAUUAACUUUACUCCCUUCCUCCCGCUGAAAGUACUUUACAACCCGAAGGCCUUCUUCAUACACGCGGCAUGGCUGCAUCAGGCUUGCGCCCAUUGUGCAAUAUUCCCCACUGCUGCCUCCCGUAGGAGUCUGGACCGUGUCUCAGUUCCAGUGUGGCUGGUCAUCCUCUCAGACCAGCUAGGGAUCGUCGCCUUGGUGAGCCGUUACCCCACCAACAAGCUAAUCCCAUCUGGGCACAUCCGAUGGCAAGAGGCCCGAAGGUCCCCCUCUUUGGUCUUGCGACAUUAUGCGGUAUUAGCUACCGUUUCCAGUAGUUAUCCCCCUCCAUCAGGCAGUUUCCCAGACAUUACUCACCCGUCCGCCACUCGUCAGCGAAGCAGCAAGCUGCUUCCUGUUACCGUUCGACUUGCAUGUGUUAGGCCUGCCGCCAGCGUUCAAUCUGAGCCAUGAUCAAACUCU